rnacentral:rRNA from 1 species
CACACAACUCUCGGCAAUGGAUAUCUCGGCUCUCUCAUCGAUUAAGAACGUAGCGAAAUGCGAUACCUGGUGUGAAUUGCAGAAUCCCGCGAACCAUCAAGUUUUUGAACGCAAGUUGCGCUCGAGGCCUGUUGGCUGAGGGCACUCCUGCCUGGGCGUCACGC